UACGUAGGGGGCAAGCGUUGUCCGGAUUUAUUGGGCGUAAAGAGCGUGUAGGCGGCUGGGUAGGUCCGCUGUGAAAACUGGAGGCUUAACCUCCAGACGUCGGUGGAAACCGUAUGACUAGAGUCCGGAAGAGGAGAGUGGAAUUCCUGGUGUAGCGGUGAAAUGCGCAGAUAUCAGGAAGAACACCCCGUGGCGAAGGCGGCUCUCUGGGACGGUACUGACGCUGAGACGCGAAAGCGUGGGGAGCGAACAGGAUAGAAACC
rnacentral:rRNA from 1 species